AUGCAAGUCGAACGGUAACGCGGCCUUCGGGUGCCGACGAGUGGCGAACGGGUGAGUAAUGCAUCGGAACGUGCCCAGUGGUGGGGGAUAGCCCGGCGAAAGCCGGAUUAAUACCGCAUACGACCUACGGGUGAAAGCGGGGGACCCUUCGGGGCCUCGCGCCAUUGGAGCGGCCGAUGUCAGAUUAGGUUGUUGGUGGGGUAAAGGCCUACCAAGCCGACGAUCUGUAGCUGGUCUGAGAGGACGACCAGCCAUACUGGGACUGAGGCACGGCCCAGACUCCUACGGGAGGCAGCAGUGGGGAAUUUUGGACAAUGGGCGCAAGCCUGAUCCAGCCAUGCCGCGUGCGGGAAGAAGGCCUUCGGGUUGUAAACCGCUUUUGUCAGGGAAGAAAUCCUGCGGGCUAAUACCCUGCGGGGAUGACGGUACCUGAAGAAUAAGCACCGGCUAACUACGUGCCAGCAGCCGCGGUAAUACGUAGGGUGCAAGCGUUAAUCGGAAUUACUGGGCGUAAAGCGUGCGCAGGCGGUUGUGCAAGACAGAUGUGAAAUCCCCGGGCUCAACCUGGGAGCUGCAUUUGUGACUGUACGGCUGGAGUG
rnacentral:rRNA from 1 species